UGCCAGCAGCCGCGGUAAUACAGAGGUCUCAAGCGUUGUUCGGAAUUACUGGGCGUAAAGCGUGCGUAGGCGGCGAGGUAAGUCAGAUGUGAAAUCCCGGGGCUCAACCCCGGAACUGCCUCUAAUACUGGUAGUCUAGAGUUCGAGAGAGGUGAGUGGAAUUCCGAGUGUAGAGGUGAAAUUCGUAGAUAUUCGGAGGAACACCAGUGGCGAAGGCGGCUCACUGGCUCGAUACUGACGCUGAGGUACGAAAGUGUGGGGAGCAAACAGGAUUAGAUA
rnacentral:rRNA from 1 species